rnacentral:rRNA from 1 species
AUUGAACGCUGGCGGCAGGCCUAACACAUGCAAGUCGAACGAGUGGCGGACGGGUGAGUAACGCAUGGGAAACUGCCUGCUGGAGGGGGAUAACUACUGGAAACGGUAGCUAAUACCGCAUACCAUCGGAUGUGCCCAGAUGGGAUUAGCUAGUAGGGGGGGUAAAGGCUCACCGAGGCGACGAUCCCUAGCGGGGCUGAGAGGAUGACCGGCCCAACUGGGACUGAGCCACGGUCCAGACUCCUACGGGAGGCAGCAGGGGGGAAUAUUGCACAAUGGGCGCAAGCCUGAUGCAGCCAUGCCGCGUGUAUGAAGAAGGCCUUCGGGUUGUAAAGGACUUUCAGCGGGGAGGCGGUACCCGCAGAAUAAGCACCGGCUAACUCCGUGCCAGCAGCCGCGGUAAUUC